UCUUUUGACGCCCUGCGCCCGAAUUCAAAGCGCGACUUGCCUGCGCCACAGCCUUGUGUGUCCCCAAAAGCACAGGGGCCGCUCAUUAUAAAUCUUUCUUCCUCUCGCGGUCUCACUCAUCCCUCUCCAUUGCUGCGGCCGACCAGAGGGACGCAGGCAGCGGAGCACACCGGCCAAGGCACGUGCAAUCUCUCUCUCUCGCUCUCGUACGUAUCUAUGUAGCCAUGGAAUGGAAUAAUCCAGCCAUGCGUAGGUGCGCCCCUGAUGUGUUUUGGUAAGUUUGUCUUGGCUGCAGAUCCCCUUUUGUCUUCCUCCCUCAGAUCUCCCACCCUGCACACAGCGACUCAGCGAGGCUCAACAUCGACCCAUCCAUCCAUGGCGGCCGUGUCCUCCCAGUCCGGAGUCAACGGCUUCGACAUGACCGACAUAGAAGACCUCACCAACAUAAGCCACAUGCUGCGCUCCCUGCUUCCGUUUGCCUCGCCGCCGGAGGUAGCACAGCUGGCGUUUGCGCUGUGGGUGCUGGGCUCCACCACCCUUGUCCUGGCCCUGACCGCCCUGUUCCACCUGCCGCCCGCAGGACCCGUCUUUGGCCGCUGCGCUGCAGCCUACUACGCCAUUCUCGGGGUCGUCCUCCUCGUCGCCGUGCCGGUGGAGCUGCUGACCGCGCUCUGCCUGCGCCACAGCCGCGAGGGCCGCCUCCUCGCCUUCGCCUCCUACCUGCUGCCCUGUGCUCACGUGCUCCUCCUCCUCGUCAUCUCGGAAUGCUAUUCUUGGAAGUUAAAUCUUGGAGUAGCUAGCAUUUCUUCUUUAAGGAAAUGAAGCCAGUGGUUAUCAUGUCUUUGGCGCGCAACUUGGUUUGCUGUCUCUGGAGCUGUAGCCAGUGCUGAUGUAUAGCUCAAGAUGUCUCACAGAAUAUGCAGAGCAAGACGUGCUCUGUUUUCUCUGUUUUUUGGAAAGGUGUACUCUGUGUUUUUGCUCAGCGCAGCCACAAUUUCCACGUGGUCAGCACCAAUGUCUUGCCGAAGCAGCGCUCAGCGUGUCAGGUCGGCUUCCUGCAGUACGGCUUCUCCCACACAGUGGUGGAGAUCCUGCAGUCACUUGACGUGCUCACCAAUGAGGUGCUACACCAGGAGCUCAAGGAGUACUCCAGCUGGCCCACCUUCCCGCAGCACUACGUUGACGGUGAGUUCUUCUGCGGGACGACAUCACGGUCGAUGUACUCAUUAGUAACACAAACCACUGUUUGGUUCAUGAACCCAAGUGUGCUGCAGCACCUUACACCUACAGGAUAGGUUAUGGUAUGUAUUAUAAGCCAAUCCUACUAUAUUAUAGUACCAAAAAUUCAGGAAUGCCAUUUUUGGAAGUUAAGUCUUUGUCUGACAAGUCACUGAAUUGUAUCCAAGCCUAACUGCAGGGGUUAAUUUUUGUCACUAAGCACCACAUGCUACUUUCCAAAAUUUUGAACUGUACGCCUCUGUCUAUCUACUAGACAUGCGUGCCCCUUAUAUUUUGUUGUACUGCUGAUAUUUCAUCAAGAAAAGCAUCAAGCUACUGCGUGUUAUGCUCUCACUCUGUGGCCUGUGGGAUAAGGAUGUCAAGAAUGCUUUUGGUAACUGUAGUGUCGUUGUCCGUUUAUUAUAACAAGAGUAACUAUGUUCCUAAAGUUAAAAUGCUGACACCCACACCCUGUUGAUAAAUUUGGUGAUUACAUUCUGAGUUGUCAUUAGCAGUUGGCCUCUGAUUACACAAACCUUAUAUUCUGAAUUGCAGUGUCCUCCUUUGCAGGUGUCUCACAGAAUACAGACAGCAAGAUGUGCUCUGCUUUCUUGAUUAACGCGGCCACAGUUUCCAGGUGGUCUGCAAUGACGUCUUGCCAAAGCAGCGCUCAACGUUUCUGGUCGGCUACCCGCAGUGUGGCUUCUCCCACAUGGUGGUGCAGGUUCUGUGGUCGCUCGAUGUGCCCUUCGAAACGCUCAAUGUGCUCGCCGACGAGGCGCUCCAGCAGUGGCUCAAUGAGUACUCAAGCUGGCUCACCUCCCCGCAGCUCUACAUCGACUUCCAGUUCUUCAAAGGGUGUGACAUCACAGUUGGUAUGUAUAUAUGAGGAUUGCUCUCUGGUCUCUGCCUUCCCUUGUCCCACGAUUAUGGCCCAGAACUUUGAGACUAUCUGUUGCAGUACGCGCACAUGGUAGCGGAGGCAUGGUGCAUUCUUCUUGUACCUGAAUGUGUCUGGCAGUGUCAAAUGUUUAAUGGUUUAUUUCUUCACAUUCAGUAGGAUUGGAGUGCACAUGGCACUCUGUACCGAUGGAAUAUAUGCUCUCUGCCUUUCCUUUUCCCAUGAUUAUGAUUACAGUUCAAAAUUUGAGUC